rnacentral:rRNA from 1 species
CCCUAUUAUUUUUAAGUGUUAAUUUUAUUUUUCCUAGGUAGUAUUAGCUAUGUUCUUGAAACCUAAAGAAUUUGGCGGUACUUUAUUCCGAUUAGAGGAAUCUGCCCUGUUAUCGAUAAUCCGCGUUGUACCUUACUUAGUUUGUUUGUUUGUAUACCGCCGUAUAUUGAUUAUCAUUUUAGUGUUUGAAAUUUUCUUGAUUCAUAAUUUUGCUUUAUUUCAGGUCAAGGUGCAGCUUUUAUCUAAGUGUGAGGUGGAUUACAUUGGUUUUUUGUUUAUUGGAUUAUUUGUUGUUAAAUUUGUAUGAAAUUGGAUUUGAUUGUAAUGUUUGGAUGAAGAUUGUUCUCAUGAUAAUUGGUUCUAAGGUAUGUACACAUCGCCCGUCGCUCUCA